CACUCGGGGGGCUGGGGAGAUGGCUGCGAUCUUGGUUGCCACCCAAUGUGGAGUUUGUGAUCCAAGUCAAAAUUUUCAUGAAAUUUUUGUUCGCGACCCCAUUUGGUUAUGAACCAAGGCGUUCGCGAGCUGAGGUACAACCGUACCUCAAAGGGUUUCAGAAAGAGGAAGAUCAAGAUAUUUCCUCGUUGAUAUGAGUGUAGAAUUCAGGCUAGAUAAUUAGGAAAGUUACAGAUUCAGGCUAGAUAAUUAGGAAAAGCUUCCUCACUGUCAGAGCAAUACAACAGUAGAACCAGUUGCCUAAAAAGGUCAUGGGCUCUCACACAGUAGAGACAUUCAAGGUGAAACUGGACAGCCAUCUGAGUGGGAUGGUGUGACCUGGUGUCCUGCAUUGGUUAGUAGGAACCAAUGGCCUUCUUGACCCCUUCCAACUGUACUAUGAUUCUAUGAAAUACAUAGACUACAGAAUACAUGAAAUACAACUGACUACAACAGUCAAUUAAAUUACCUCAGGCACAGCAAUGAUAAGAUAAUUACAAUUUCUAAAAAUAUAAAAUAUUCAACAGUUUUUCUAAUGUCUGGUAAAUAACAGUAUCUUUGCCUGGCAUUAGAAAGAUAACAAAGAGGCUGCCAGGCAUACUUCUCUGGGGAGUAUAUUCCAUAAUUGGGAUGCAACCACUGAGAAGGCCCUCAUCUUGUUUGCCAGCCCUCUCACUUCUUUGGGGGACGGUUCCCUGAAAAGGUUGGCAUAGUGCUUUUUUGUGCUUGCUGUAAGGAGGCAGAACUGAACCAAAGUUCCAGUUUCCAUCUCGGACCUUGGAGCUGGGGGUGCAAACUAUUCCAUGGUCAUGAAACAAAGUCUAAGGGCCAAAGGGUCCUUUCCACCGUGCUAUAGAGGUCAAAUCCAGUACUUUGAACAGGGCAGCUGUUUUAAAACUGGAUAUAUUCAAGGAUAAGUGCAUUGUGGGUUGGGAUAAGUCUGGAGACAACAGUUCUCCAUCGUCCUAAUUCUGUAAAUCAGUGUCUGUGAAAGUAGGUCACCUGCCUAUCUGCUAAGGCUGAAUGGCAUGUGCAGAAAGGGAUAAAUGGGGAAUAUGGAUUGGGGGAUAUGAAAGAUGUUCAUGGACGACCACAGUCCUAGCUGAAGAUAAAUAGAUGAGGAAGUCCAUCACACUGGAAAGUGUCCUGACAGGGAACAUAAAGAAGGCCCCUGAUGAACCAAAGCAAGAGUCCAUCUAGUGCGUUGCUCUAGUUACACAAUGGGCAACCAGCUGCCUGAGAAACACAUCAGGAGGCAACAGUGCAAGCACCUCAUGUCUCCCAGCAACUAGUACACCUAGGCAUACUGCCUCUGAUAUGAAGGCAGCCUGCAGCCAUCUGGAAGAGUAGCCAUGGAUCACUUGGUCCUCCAUGAAUGUGCACAAUCCCCUUUCCAAAGCCAUCCCAACUGGUGGCCAUAACCACUCGUACGUUUUGUACUCCUUCCAUAGCUUAAGUGUGUGGUGUGUGAAGCACUUUCUUUUAUCUGUCCUCAAUCUCCCUCCAUUCAGCUUCAUGGGAUGACCCCUGGUUCUAGUACCUAGGGACAAUCCUGGUUUCAGAGCAAGCUGCUCUUCAGCUGGAUGGAGACAAACCGUGAUCUCAUUUUAAGGCUGUGCAGCUACAGAAGGUAAACAAAGGAGACAGCAUCUGCUUUAUUGAGGCCCAAGGACUCUCUAGGGCCGGCCCUGAAAUCUGUUCACAGCAACACAAUCUUUCACAGCUCCCUUGCCAUUCUGUUCUUGCCUCCUUCUAAUACAUCGAGGCUCACUGAUCACAUGGAUAACCUUGGUUAAAUGCAACACUGAAAUAGUUUCUUGGGUCAUUACAACAGCCUCCAACCCUCCUGCUGUUUAAUAUAUUGUAAACAACUAUUUGGUAUGUUAAAAGUUUUGUAACUGGGACACCAUUGGCCAGAAAUGACUAAAGGUAUUUGCAUAAGCAGCAUUGCUCUGUAUCUCAUUGAAUGAACUUUCUCCCCAUUCCAUCCAAAGAUGAGUUCACUGUAGCUUUGAAGUUUGCAUAUUUUGGUUGUGAAUGGAAAUUGGUCCAAUAAAAGUGAUUGCCUUGCUCAUUUUGAGUCACUCACAUAAAUGAAAUGAGUCCAUUGAGAUUGGAAGGACCCUGCCUGUUGACUUUAUACACCUGAGGAUGUCUGCCUGGGUGCCUACCAGCAUUAGCAAGGCAGAAACUAAAGUGAGUCGCUUUCCUUUGUGGGAGGAAGAGUUUAGCCAUGUAAACAAGCUCAGGGAGUUGGUUUUCCCAUACCAAUCUGACACCACUCCCUAAAUGUGAGUCUACAACUCCUGUUACCCCAGCUAAUGGAAUUUACUGUAUUGCAGAUAAGAUAGCACAUCUCCACAAAUGCUCAUCCACUGUUGCUUAUCAAAGGAUAUGGUCAUGGAGAGGCUCCUUGCACUGAUCUUGAAGAAUAUCAUUUGAAAACAAAGGAAAUCAGCAUCUUGUAGCUACAAAGAUAAGUACCCAUAGGUAUGUUGUUUUCAAAGCCAAAAAGCAACCUAUAUGCAUUUCCAGCCAUAACCUACCAGGGCAGCAUUGAGUUAGCCUCAUCCCAUAUGGCUGGGCUCUUUGAAUGCUGUAGGUUCUCUCUCUUUGCUCUUGGGCUUCAGUUUACAGCUUUUUGCAUGUAGUCAAGGAAAACCUAUGAGGCAAAGCAACCAUAGCACAAAGCAAGCUGGACCUAGAGUCUGUGGAAGAAGGCAGAAGGGGAAUCACCUGAGACCUGUUGCUUCAUGCAGUACCUCUGCAUUGUGUCUGGCUGAGAAACAGAGGUGGCUUUGCGGGAGGGAGCAGGGCAGCAUCCCCAUUGAAGCAGAAUUUGGGCAAGGAAUGCUCCAUAUGGAAGAUGGCCAACCAACUUCCUGAGUUCAGAAAACUGUGACAAUGGAUGAAGAUUGGUCCUCUCCCCUUAUAUCCUAUUAUCCACCAAAUCCUUGCUCAGAAUGAGCAAGUACGUGCCAUCACUCCUUCUGCCAACUCUGAGUGGGGGAGAGAGAGAGCUGAAGGUGACUCUGCCAUCAUUUGAUAUAGACUUCAACUGACUUCUCCAGUGGGUCAAUAGCCCUUUGCCAAAGGUUUCCCACCAGGAAUUAUGGCAACUGCAGCCUCCUAUAACAUGCAAUUUCUCUUUGGCCAGGGAUAUGCACUGCUGCCUUCUCCCUUACUGGUGCUCAUGAGUCCCUACCUGGAACAGAAAAAAGGUAUGUUAAAAAUUUUCUGGGUCACACCCAAGAACAAUUGUUUGGCAUGGAUGUGCAGAAGCCUUAUGGUCCCCUCUGGCAUAGUCACAAAGAGGAGUUUGGAAACUUUUGUUUCUGCUUCUGUUAGCAAUGGUUUCUUGUUAUGUCUGAUUCUGGAGAAACUAUGAUUCUGGGCAAGGGUAGGGUACGUUGUAUGGCCUGGAGGCUGGAUUUCCCUCCCGGUUCCCAUUCCUUCCAUGAUCCCAAUUAUAUAAGAAGAUAGGCCCCACCCAUGAUAUACAGGGUGGAGCUCCACUUGCGAUUUCAGGGUCUCUUGACAUCAUUGUGCCCUUAGCCAAAGUAUUGGAUACUCCAGGUUUCCAGGGAAACAAGACAACUUGAAACAAUGGUUUAUAAUUCCAUGCUUCUUUGUUAAACCAUGGUUAAUAAUAACCACAGUUUGGACCAACAACGUUACUACAAUUGGUUGCUGAUGAAAUUAAGCUUCCAGUCCGCUCUUUGCCGGAGUGCUACAAAGACCAAGAAAUGGGGAGCACGUGCGCCUGAAGUUCACAAGAUCUGGUUGCUGAGCGCAACGGUGCCUCAGUAUUCUCCCCUGGCACAGCAUCUCCUGACACACUUUUCUUCCAAAAUGGAGACAAAGCUUCUCUAUAAGCUCAUGGGUAUUUUCCUUUAAAUGUAGUGAUGAGCAUUAUUGCAGCACACACUUGGCUCAAACUUAAAUUAUGGUCUGCUACAAUCCAGUAAAGUCCAAGUCUUUAAAUGUAUGCAGUACAGAAGAAAGAUAAGCCUCUCUCAGGCUAUCUUUGCAUUUAUUCAUGUAAAAAGCCUGCUUCGUAAAACAGGGAAACUUAGUGGCAAUCCUCUUUGUGAGGCCCAAACUGCACACUACAUGGGAAUAUUGCAAAGGCUGCCCAGUUGCCCAGUUUGAAUUUUAAAAGCUGCUUUCCAUAGGCAGGAUUACAAUUUAUAGUUGCUGAGGCCACUGCAUUUAUAUCCUGCAUUUUUUUCCUCUUUUGAGGAAUCCACGGUAGCACAUCCCAUUACAGCAGCUGCCUGGCCAUGUGAGAACAAAACACUGGACAGGUUCUUCUUAUCUAUACCUUCAUUCAUCUAAUUUCUAAGCUAUUAUUAUUCUUACCAGUAUUAUUAAUUUUAUUUCUGUACCACCCAGCAGCUGAAGUUCUCUGGACAGUUUACAACACCAAAUAUUUUUUUUAAAAAAAAUCUAAAAUACAGAUAGCACUAAAAUUAUAAAAAAUGCAGUACAAAAUUUUAAAACCAAAUUAAAAAAAAACACAAGACAUGUUAACCAAAUUAAAUCAGAAUGGACAUAUGCCCCCAAUAUUAUAUUGAAGGAAAUGAAAUGCCCUGACCUCAUGGUCGGUUUCUGCUCCUCAGCAACAUGUGGUCAGCUUGCUUUUGCUGCUCCAAAAACAACCUCCCAUCCCUCUGCAUUCACUCCACACAUUCAGAGCAUUUGAGUCCUCUUUAAACAGUCAUUAAGUCUCCAAAGAAUCUUGGGGGCCGUAGUUUCUCAAGGGUUCUGAGUAUCAUUAGUGCACACCUAUUCCUCACACGAAGAGGUGUAGUUUCCAGAGUCUAUGGGGAAGAGGGAUUGACUGAUAAGCCAUUCUGAGAAUUGUAGCUCUGUGAGAAGAAUAGGUGUUUUCUAGCAACUCUAAGCCCCAGAAUUAUUUGGGAGAAAAAAAUAGCUAAAGUGGAAUAAAGGUAUCGUAACUGGAGUACCUUCACUGGAAUCAAUGGGGAAAAUUGGCCAUAACUUCUGAUAGCCUUAAGGUCCUCUUCCUUCAGGCAGGCUACUUUACGCAUGAUUCAGCUUGGAUCCAAUGCAAGCACAAUAAAAAGUUAUUGGUUACUCUGAGAAACUGGAGCCCCUAAUCUAUGGCCGCUGGACUCGUGGAGGCUCUCCCACACAUGCGCACGCGCAUAAUUGCAGAGGCCACAGGAUAUGAAAGGCAACCAAAGAGUGCUUGUCAGUCCUGACCGCUGCUCUUGGGGGAAUGUCGCUGCAUAUGUUUCGAUAAGUGUGGGGGGUGAGUGCCUGUUUGCUUCCCCCCCCACACACCCCCAUCCACUUCCCCUUGUAUGGCAUGUUUUUAGAUAGCGAGCCUGUGGACAGGAACUGCCUUAUUAAUUCCAUGUAAGCCACCCUGGAAUCUUUUUGGCUGGAGACUGGGGUAUGAAUGCAAUAAUAAUUUUAAAAAUCUUUCAUUCACAGUAAAUAAGAAAAGAAAUAACUUCUAGUAGCUGUCAUUGUUUCACCUCAAAGACAGAUACCCUCAUCUUGUAUUCAUUACUCAACAGAAAUUCAAACACAGUGACAAAGCUCAUUUUUAUUGUGUAAUCUUGGAGAUAGUGUGGCUUUGAUGGGGUGUGGCUUUGAGAGCUGGCUGUGUCUCUCAUGAAGGACACCCCACUUCUAAAUUGAUCCCUACACCACUGCUUGGAAACAUACAGACAGCCACUGUAAGUGGGCCAGAGUUGGUGUAAUGAGUUGGAACCCUCUGGUCCCUGUUAUUAAUCCGGCUGCCACAUUUUGCACAAGCUGCAGCUUCUGCGCAUUCUUCAAGGGCAGCCCCAGAUUGAGUGCAUUGCAGUGAUCUAGUUUAGAGAUUACCAUAGUGUAAAUGACUGAAAACGGGGUAUCCCUGUCCAUGUUGGGGCACAGCUGUGUCACCAGCUGAAGGCAGAAAAAGCACUCCUUGACACUGAGACCACAUGGCUUUCAAGUGGAAAAACAGAUGGACCAAGGAGCACCCCCAAGCUCCGAGUCUGCUUCCUCGAGCAAAGUGCAGCCCCACCCAGAACAGGGUGAACACAGGCCAACUGCAGUCUUGCCUGGAUGGAGCUUCUGUUGGCUAGCCUUCCUCCAGUCCCCUGUUGCGGCCACCGCUGGAUUGGCACAUCCACAGCCUCACCUGCAGAAAAUGAACAGGAGAGAGAGAGCUGUGCAUUAUCAGCAUACUGAUGACAACAUACCCCAAAACUCCAACUGAAGCCCAUAUUGGAGAAGCCAAGAGGUUGUCCUAGAGCAAGGUGUUUAGGGCAACAUAUAUAAUAAUAAGAACUCCAAGUUUGAUUUUAAAAUGCAACUUUAAAAUGCAACUUGAUUUUAAAAUGCAGCUUUGUAUCAUUACAAACAAAACGAGCAGCAGUUUAACAAUAGUCUGGGAGAAAAUAAAGGACUUCAUUUGGUGCCUAAAGACUGAGAAAGAGAGCAUUCUGCAAUUGGAGGUGGGGGGGGGGGGACAACAAAAAGGACUAGCCACAAAUAGCCACCCACCCAAUCUCCGUAUAUGGGGUACUUCAAGGAGGAUGUCAGGCCGUGAUCUCAGGGCAUAGGUGGAGCCAUAUGGGCAAAGGUGUGCCUCCAAGAUAAUGAGGGGACAAGUGCCACAUCCUCCCUAGCCGUCUCUUUGGCUCCUGGGAAGAACUCCUCCUUAGACAAACAAGUGACAUUCAGUGCACAUUUGUACCACCAGGUGUGCUUAAAAAUUAACUGUGGGCUCAGCAUCAAAGGUAGUCUGGUUGUGCCACUGCCAAGGGUCCACACCCAGCAGGGUCCCACUGGCAAGAGCCCUCUAGAACUGCUUCCCGGAGUCAGCCCUGUGGCCCUUUCGCUUCCCAGCCUUUUAGUCUGGCCCAGACAACAGUAGCAUGGCAAGAAGCAGCUGUGGACACCCAGGCCGGCUUGCUCAGGGGCUAUCUGCCUGUCAGAGCAAGCACAGGGCAGCCAUGAUGAGCAACAAGGGUGGGAGGAAGAGCAGCUGGUGGCAGUGUAGGUGAGAAGGACGAGGCAGUGAGGGGCCCAGUGGGGGUGUGGAAAGCCCUAAUGGUGUCAAGGAAAGAGGAUCAACAGGACCAAAUGGCUCAUCUCUAUGGUUUAGGAGGACCGAGUGUACCAGAUGAUUGAGAGAAUUCUGUGAUGAAGCCCGAUGUGUUUCAUUUUCACCUCAUCAAAAUGGUCUAAUUAUGAAAGAUUAAGUGUCAAUUACUCCCUAAGAGGCUGUGCUCACACUUCAGCUAAGCAUGGGUGGUGGAUCCACUCUAGCGUGAGCCAGAAGCAUAAAAGACUUCACUAACAGAAUGCCUGUUCUGUCUGGCCAUCAGGGAGAAGCUAACUAUAGAGGAGGCACCAUAAACUGUGAAAUGAGAACUGCUCCGUUCCCUAUGAUAAGAGGAAGCUGGCAUUGAACCUAUUACUCAGAUUAUGGUGAAUCUGAAUUGCUUUCCCCUUGAGCUGCUACAGAGAUAGAUCAGUCGGAUUAAAUCCCUCUCUCUUAUGUAAAACAACUUAACUGGAAUAGAUAAAAAUGUGAAGGGUUUUUUUUAAAAAAGACUUGUAUGUUUCCUUGAGUCUGGAUAAUAAUAAGUUCUUGACUUACAAAUGUCUCCUUGAUUGUUUAAUGAAUUAUUUUCUGUCUCUCAGGCUGUUACUGAAUGGAAUGUACUAAUAAAACAUUCUUGAAAAAUGGAAUACAUGUAUUACCUGAAAUAAUUCUGGUAGAGUGAUUUACUUGCAUAAUAAAUGUACAGUAUCAUUUUCUCUCUGGCAUCUGGUGAGCAAUUGAUUACUAUGCCCAACGUAUACACUAUUAUUUUCUUUAGACCUCAGGAUGCUAAACAUUGUGGUCCACUGUCUGCAUGUUAUUGCCUGUACAAUUAUACACCUAAAAUUACUUUCGGGCAAUAGUAGAAAUAAUAAGGGAAAAUUACUUUUAUGAUUAGAAAGCACAAGAGAUGGAGGCCUUAACCCUAAGACGACCGCAAAGAUCACAUGGGAGCAGGCUUCUUUGUGUGAGCGCGUGCAGUUUUAAGGGUGUGUACAUUGUGAUGGCUAGCAUCUACUUCAGGGUGUGGAACUUCUGUUGCUUCAGAUGUUGGUGUACUGCGGCUCCAAUAAGCCCAGGCCAUAGGCUAUCUUGGCUGUGACAAAGGGGAGCUGGAAUCCAACAACAUCUGGCAGGUCACAGGUUCCCCACUGCUGAUUUUCAGACAGGGAUUUCCAGAUGUUGUGGCCUAUCACCUCCUGGCGUGUACAAGCAACUUUUUAAAGGGUCAGGUAGGGAGAAUGUUUGGGUUAGGGUUAGAGAAAGCCGGAGAGGUCUGAAUGGAACAAUUCCACUACAGCAAUAGGAGAACUGUGGAGGGUCUAGGGCAGUGGUGUACGGGGCAAUGUGGGGAGGAGUGCAGCUCAGGGACAUUUUGCAAGAGCAUGAGGGCAAUUUAUGGUUCUCCUUGCUCUACGAAAUGCACCAGGAGAUUGCAUGUUUUGUGGCACAUCCACAUGUAAGGCAGAGGUGUGGAACUUUGGAGAAAACUUUGGGAGACCAGGGCCACCAGGGAGUGAAUAAAGAAGAGGAGCCUGAGCUAGUACACAUGCAGGAGGAGAGGUAAAGAAGUGUCAUCCACUGCCACAUAUGUGGGAAGGUAAGAAGCUCAGGUCGCCGCCAUGUACGUGCAGGCAGCAAGGAGGAACUGUCGUGCUGGCAGCCACAACAGUGAUGAAACCCAGGGGCAGGAGGGAUGAAAACUAGCAGUCCUCCAGAUCUCCAACCUCAAGGGAGGGCUGUCCCCAAGUGGGCUACAUUUCCACAGUGAGUGGGGCCAAACACAAAGGAAUGGGGCCAAACCACCAAAAAUGCCAGCCUAUGAUCCCUGAAACUCUUACUGCCAACAAUUAAGCUUUGGGAGAGGCAUUUCCCCCUUUUAGAAUGGGGAAAAUCUGCAGAAAGGGCAGGAAGCCACCAAACCAAAGGUGGUGUGAAGAAAGGGAGUAGAGUUAGGGGAAGGGAGUGUGGCCCUUUGAAGUACGCCCGAGGGCUACACUGAUCCCUUGGGAAAGCUGGAUCCAGCCCUGGGGCCUGAGGUUUCUCACCUUCAAUGGAAAAAGUCAUUCAUUAAUUAAGCAGAGGCUGACUAUUUCUUUCCUAUUCAUUGCUGGGAUUCCUACUUCAGCAAUUUAUGGCAUGAUACUUCUUUGCAAGAUUGCUGGCAUUUUAAAUUAAAAACAAAUGUUGUGCUCCAGCUGGCUGAGGAUCUUUGUUAAGCUCGGCAUUUUACAAGCUGACCCUGUGCAAUGAGAGUAAGCUGUAGGUUCAGUGGAGCUAAAUCCCAGGUUAUUGUGCACAGGAGUACAGGCACACGGACCCUAAUACAUUGGGGUUUAGGGGAUGCAUUGCUGCUCUUCACUGGUGGUACUGGUAGUGGUGUGGGUUGAUAGAGUCAAGAGCGACUCCUGCAGUUGACCGCUCCACCACUGGUUUAAGGGAGAUGCUCUCUAUUAGGGACCAUACCCUAAUAUUCUAGACAGUCUACAUAGAUCAAUGUAGAGCUCAUAAAAAGAUCAGCAAAGGGUUCCUGAAAUAAAAAAAAUGGUGGGAAGAAACAUUUAGAAAGUGGAUUCCCAUUAAAACAUUAUCACUGAUAACUGGAGACAUAAACUAUAAUUGUCCCCAUUCCACAUGGCUGUUUUCAAAAGAGAAACCUGCUAUGGUCUAGCUUGUUUUUGUUUCCUUAGCAUCAUAUCUAGAUGGCAUUGGCAGUGUAGAAUGUCCAUCAGUGGCCACAUCAUUGUCUGUAGUCUUUGCUAUAUGAAUUAACUCCUUUCAAACUGCAAAUCGAUGCAGACAGUGUUACCAGUUGGCUCACUGUUGCUUUAGUUAGAGAGAUGCACAUUCAUUUCAUUCAUACAGGUGUGUGAAUUUCUGGUGCAUCUUUGCCAACAGACAAUGGUCCAACAAAAGGAAACAUCUUGACUGCUCUCCGCCACCCCACUUCUUUUGGCAGGGUUUAGACAUAGACUUACUGCCCAUUGCUCAUUUCUUCAGGCAAUUCUCCUCCCUGUCAACAUUCAUUAUCUUUGGAUGGUUGAAUCUUAGCCAAUUCCUUCCCAUUUACUUCUCUGGAUCCAUGGGAAAUCAAAGAGGCUGCUAAAUCCAGGUGUGAUUUACCUUGUGUUUCAUCUGCCUAUUUAUACGUCAUUUCCUACAGCCUUGCUAUCUCCACUGGUAUCCAUAUAAGCCUCUGAAUGAAAUGGAGUCCCACAGAGUUCUGGUGAGAUUGGGAAGUGAUCUCUAGAACUAAACAACUUUGAAGAGAGGAAAAAUAAUCCUCCGUCAGAUCUUUACAUGUAAAAGUCCAUUCUGAACUUGAGAUUUCAACAUUUAAAUGUGGAUUAUAUGUUUAGCUCCUGUGAUAAUUUUCAUCCUCUGGUGUGUGCUGUUCGAACGCCUAAGACCUCUUUUCUGUCAUCUUCUUAUUAACCAGGCAGAAUCUGAAAACUCACUAGAAGCCAAAAAUAAAAUAACAUCCUACAGCAUCCACACUGCCUGUCUUCUGAUUGCUGAGCCUGAUUUUUUGCAAAUGCAGUUUUUUUUUUUUUUUGCAAGAGUUGGGUUUAGAGUUCCCUCUUGGAUUUAUUUCACAUACUCAGCUCUUCCUCUCAGGGGUUCAGAGGGCCUUAUGUAUGGGUUCUGGGAGGUCCCUCAUCCAAGCCAAUAUAUAGGAGCAGAGCUGUUUUGCUUCUCAGCUAGUUAUGCCCUUCAAUGUCUGGUUUAUUCUGCAGUGGGAAGACAGUGAUGAUCUUAUUCAAAGACCUCAAUGUUGUGCUUUGAAGUGUUAAAAAUAUACCGUAUUGAUGGUUGAACACUGGUGCAUCACCAUCAUGGCUUAGUGACCACAGAUUCCGAUCUCCGGUGGUUCUUUAUUCCACUGUAGCCUUCCUAUAUUCUGAUCUGCCGAUGUAAUUCUAAAGUAGCGAGACAGCCUGCCAAGAGAUUCUCUCAAACUGCUUUGGGUGUCCUGCCCUUCUGUCUCACUCCACUCAGCAGGCAGGAACUUGCCUUACAGCAGAUCAGGCCAUGGAUGCAUCUUGCUCCCUUUUGUUCCAGACAGGAGCCUUUUUUGGAGAUGCCAGGGGUUGUCUUGCUACAUUUUGGAUGCAAAACCUCUGUACUUCCAUUGGUCUACUGUUAGCAUCAGGAUGGCAGAAGACACAGAUGCAGUACACUCCUUGGUACCGUGGAGUGUUUAAAAACAGACGUGACUUUCAGGUUUCUCAUACCUGUCUGAAAUCAAGUUAACAAACAUUCAAAUUCACCCACAGAAUGAAGAUGUGAAUAGAGUUGCUCGACACCUUAUUAUUCAUCUGUAAAACCAGAAUCUUUAGCCCUAUUCGGACACCUUUAAUGCAUUAAAUCUAACGACAUACUAUCCAUCAGUGGAUAUCUGAUGGUGUAUGGGACUUGGACCUUUUCUCUUCCCUUGCAGCUCUCUCUCUUGACUAAAGGUCUCCCAGCCUUCUGGAGCAGAUUUUGAGUGGGCGCAUAAAGUCCAUGCACUGGGCAUCCCUUUGUGAAAUGGAGAGGCAUGUGAAUGGAGUCUGUGCACAAUGGAAUGAUUGCUGCACGGAGGCUGUGACCCCAGCUCUGCACACGGUCUAGACGCAUGUCUGCAUAGGGCUUUGGCGCUCCAGGAACUCGGCUGGUGCAGUGUGUUAGCAGAUGCCUUCUUUCCCUGGGACUUCCCUGCUGCCUGCUUAGAGCAGCCCUGCCUCUCCAGGCUUCAUUGCAACCGGACCUGCUCUCCUCGCUGCUUUCAUUGUCUUUCUGUGUAGCACACUUGCCUGUGUGUUUUCCAAAUCCCUUUUAGCCCUGCAUGUCUAUAAUUUAAAUUCAAGGUGCUCCACAGGCGGUAGGGAUAUUUGAAGUACGAGAAGAAAGCUGGAUGAGUCACUGAACUAUAAGGUGAAAUAGCAAAUCUGCUCUCAGUUGUUUUGUGCAGCGGUACCUCGCAAAUUGUUGUAGCACACUGACAGUGUGGCUGUCAGCACACUUAUUAGGGAGUUAGUCCCACUGAGUUCAGCAGGACUUAUUUCUGAGUAAACAUGUUCACGACUGCACUGUUAAUCCCCUGAAAUUAGGUGUCUAAAUGAUACCUCUAGCUUUUUCCUACUUCUACCUUGUGCUCCCGCCCACUAAUGCUAAUAUUUAGACUUUAGACUGGGUCUCUGGAAAGAGCUUGGAUUCUCCAUCCAGGCUGGCAGAGAAGGAAUGAUUGUAUUCUCUGUAUGCCCACAUCUUGAGAAAGCAGGUAGUAAGUCUGGAGUGGAUGACAGACUACCCAGUGCCACUGCAUAACCCAGUGGAAUAAAGAGACAAAGUCUCAGGCUCUUGAACAAAUCUAUACAGUUUUAUUCCAAACAGCAGCUCCACAAGUUUCAGCCUUCAGUAGGGGCCUUCUUCGGGAGCAAGAUUAGAGAAAAAGGGGUGGGAAACGCUUAAACAUAAUCUACAUUACAAUACAUUGAAGAAUGAAAUAUGUAUUUUAAAAACCUGGCAAUGGUGCUAAUUAUUGCACUGCAAAAUUACCUGUGAUUACUUACUUUUAAUAUACCUAAUUGCCUGCAAUGAUCUUUGAAAAAAGAUAACCUCCAAGAUAAAUCCUGUUAUUAGUGAUGAACUCUGAUAUGAAAUGGGUUUUUUAUAUACAUUUUAAACAAAAACACAUUUUUUAGUUUCUAAAAUAGUUUCUAAUUAGACUCAGCCUCUCCCAUAACUGGACACAAAACAUAUUCCAAAGGGUACAUUGUGGAAGAGGUGGAAAUUGCAGACUAACCAAUCCUCUGAUGGGUUCAUAACAAAUAUAAGAGGAGAAACACUGGACUGAGUUUCCUCUCUCACCCAGGAGGUCAUCAAAAUGCUGGGGUCCUUCAUCAGCCCAAGGAUCAACCAACAGGGAAAUGGAGGCAGCAAGGGAAUGUCUAUCUAUCUGAAAGUAUAAAUUGCCUUUUGUCAGUUGGAUCCCACGAUGGUGCACACAAUAUCAAAACCGGACAACCAAUCUAAUAAAUAAGUCAUACAAGCACUGUUUCAAAAGCAAAGCAGCCAAUAACAACUUUUCAACAGCAGUCAAUUCAAUUUAACACUUCCUUUUUAAAUAUUAAAAUUCUAAAAUAGUGAGAUGUCAAAAGAUUAAAAUGCAUGGGCCAAAAGAAACAUUUUAACUUGGUACUGAAAAGAAAAUACAGUUGAUGCCAAAUGAUUCCCCUCUGGAGGGCUGUGGAAGGUAAAGCCCCAUGAAGGGCACAGCUCCUUUAUAGGGCAGUACCUUCUGGUGGGAUGAUUUUGGUGGGAUCUCAUUUGAGCUGGGCCUCUUGGCACCUGCAGCUGCCACAGAGGGAUGCCUGGUGGGCACAGCUGCUCCUACUCCUGGGCCUGACCUGGCGACCAGGCUCCUGGUGUUUUCAUUGAGCAGGUGCUCUGUGCCUGUGGAGCUCUCUUCUGCAGGAAGGGAUCUUUGGAUGAAGUCUCCCCUGUCUGGCAUACCCUCCCAGCUGGUCCUUGUUUCGACCACUGUUUGCUGCUUUGCAGGUGCUCCAGCAGCUGUGGAGAUCUUGGUAUGCAGCUUCUUGGACAGGCAAGGACUCCGUGCCUGCUGCCGAGGAUGGGAAGUUUUGUGCUGCGGGCCUCUGAGUUGCUGUAGGGCUGGAUCAGUUUCAGCAAGGUACAAGAGGACCCCGGCGGGUGAUGAUGCUCGCUCUGAUUGAGGGAGAGGACAGCAGUUGCUCUGGAUGGUCCUUGACAGCCUAACUGGCUCAGACCUGGAGAAGAGUCAUGGGAACGUGGCACAUGAUGGCUCUGUCUCUGUGAGGACAGGAGUGGGUAAGCAGUUGGGGUUAUUUCUCCCAACUUAAACUGCCGUUGCAUCGCUACUUUGGAUGUAUGCUCCAUCUAACAGAGGCAAAACCACCGAAUCAACAAAUAAAAUUUUAGUUACAUUUUUAAACAUUACAAAGAUGUUACCUCCACGUACCCCUGGCCAAGUUUCUGUCUUCUGUACAGAAAGGUUACUGAUUUUUGAAGAGAGUACUGUCAAAUUUUGUGGCUAGCUAAAGUUUUGUUUAUCAGCAACUAGGAAGCAAUAAUAUGGACACAGCUGCAAAGACAAGAAUGCCAAGGCUAAACACGGCAUACCUGUUGUCCAAGAAAUACAGAACUAUCUUUUAUGCAACCCAAAUAACUGCUUCCAAAGUCAUUUUUCCAGGUCCACAGCUUCAGGAAUGAUCAGUUGGUAGUCAUAGCCAGCAUAAUACCACAGGAUAAUGGCUCUCGCAGAAGCUGUGGCCAGUUACAUAAGGGCUGCUGUGCAGGCCUGGCUGGUCAAAGCUCACAGAACCCACCCAAGAAACUGAGAACAAGAAGAAAAAAGCCCUGAACUAUAACACCAGUCCACAUAUUUACUCCACCAAAGCUAAACAAAAUAGCCAGCCGAGGUUGCAAUCCUAUGCAGGGGGGAUACUUCUGAAUAGGCCUAGGUAGGGUUUCUCCUAUAGAAUGAGAGAAGUGGUUGGGUAAGGACAGAAAACGGGUGAGGGUGAGGAGGAAGAAGUGGUAGCUGUAGGAAGGGGUGAGGAGCAGAGAAAGAGCAAGGCUAGAAGCUGGGAGUGGCGGGAGAAAACAAGGCAAAGAGGGUAGGUGAAAGACAAAUAGAAGGAGGGCCUUUUCUGUGGCUGUGCCUCACCUCCGGAUGGGCUCCCCAAGGAAGUCUGCCUGGCUCCUUCAUUACUAGCGUGUUGGCACCAAGCAAAGACUGUUUUAUUUUCCAGGCAUUUUUACAUUUUUGGUGAAUUUUAAAGUGUUGUUUUAAGCUGCUAUACCUUGUCCAUAUUUUUGUAUUGUAGUAUUUUACGGAGCUAUUUAUUUUAAUGUUGGUUUUAAUGGAAAUAUACACCACCCAGAGAGCCCUACCAGGGCUAUAGCCACAAUCUAUAAAUUUAAUAAUACAUAAAAUAAAUAAAAGCAAUGCGCAGUGCUAUUUUCUCCUCAUUGUCUCCUUGCCUUUGGCUUUACAUCUUGAAUACAGAUGAGGUGUUCAUUUGGCAUGAUGCUUCACCCCCGGAGGCCAUGAGUCUGUGGCUGCAGCCCCCAAGGUCAGGUCAAGGCAUUCUGACGCCUGAGAUGGAGUGGCAAAUGCCCCUGUCCCUGCCUCGCUCCUGCCCCUGCCACCGGCCAUCAAGUUGCACAGAAACAGAGUGAGUCAGAAGGGGCCUCCUGGGCCAUCUAGUCUGAGCCCUGGCUCCAGCCGGCCCUGCUCACAGCAUGCCCACCAUGUGCAUGCCCAGCCGGUCCUUGAACACCCUCACCGCUGGGGCCUCAACCACCUCCCAUGGAAGCCCAUUCCAUGCCUAGGCGUCCUAACCGUCAGGAAGUACUUCCUGGCAUCCACCCUAAAUCUUGGUCCCCUGAGCUUUGCAAUGGUUCCCAAGGCCAGUCAAAGCAUUCUGGCACUUGAGGCUGACAAUCCCGCAAGAGCUUCUUCCCCUCACUGACAGUAACACACAGCCAGAAUAAAUCAACUGUGGAAUAAUUUGCAGGCCAUUCAUGACCCUCAAUAUCCGGUGGCUGCCUAAUUCUGACUAAUUGCAGCCAUCUCUGAAUGCUCUACCUCUUGACACAUCCGGAUUCAGACAGCCUGCACCCAAGUCCCUGCUGAGAUCCCAGAUCCCUGGUUCUGUCUGAAGAGCUGGUGACCCUGUUUAGGCCCUGGUGCUCCCUCGGAAACUGGUGCUCGUGCACUGGUGGUGCCAGCACCACUAAACCGACUAAGGGCUCGGCGUCGGCUUGUGCCACUCUGGAAGGGGUGGGGAUCCUGCCUCCCUUGACCUGCAGAACCAAGUCUAGAUGGGAGAGUGUUGCUGAUUUGCUUUGGCAGUUCGUCCCCGCUACCUCAUCCUGUUUUGGCUCUCUUAAUAAAUUGCCUAAAUAUCUAUGCAUAUGUAACUAAGCAUUUGUUAUUGUUUUGGUGCACAAAGUUAAAUGUCUAUUCCCCCACUUGUGCCCAGAGGGGAAAAAUCAAUUCUGGUGUAAUUAGAAUUCAAACCACUGGUGUAGUUUUACAAAGGUCAUUUUAGACUGGAGAGAGAUUGAGAGUGUUGUUGUUAAUCGAACAGAGGAUAUUUAGGCAGACUCUUCAACAAUAAAUGGUGAGAGCAAACAACAUUAGGUCUGCUAUCUCUGCAGCCACGCAGAUCCACCAUAAAAAAACAACAACAAGCGCCCCGUUACAACUUUGGUGGAACAGUCUGUCUUUUCCACCAUACUAGCAAGUAGAGUUACAUCAGCUGCACUGCUUUCAUUCCAUACAGACACAUCCAGGCUGCAAAAGUCAUACAACUUGAGUUCCAAAUAUAUUGGAAAUGGCUUGGUAAAGUCAAAAAGGCCUUGAUUCUGGAAGUUCCCUUCUCUGAUCACAGGGUGCCUUGCCUAUCCAGCAUUCAAGAUCUUCUCCAGCUUUCCCCAGUCUUCCAGCACUCAUGUCCCUGCUUGCAUUCUCUUGGCAACAGAAGUUUGCAGUUUUCCUUUGCUAAUGUUCACUAUAACCUACUUUCUCUUAUCAUUCCAAGUUUUCUCUCCCUCCUCUGAACUUGCUUUGUUUGUUUGUGAUGGGCUUAUCCCUGGCCUUCUAGAAAACCUUUGCACAAGACAGCUUACAGUAUAAAAGAAACAAACAAACAAUCAAUGACAUCAAUACCAACCUCCAUAGCAACAAAUACCAGUUUUAUCUUCCUCCGCACUCCCCAGCAUCUGUUUGAAGCUGCCUGCUUCCUAUAUUAGUCUUGUAAUUCCUCAGAUGCCAGUAUUCUUAGAGCCCUCUUUGAACAUACAAGAGCUGAAAGCAGGCCACACCCCAAUAUCCUCUGCCUUUUUAUUGCUUGGCAUGAGCUCCUGGUCAGACUUCUAGAUGAUAGGGAUGAAGAUCUGAAGAGGGUUUCUGCUCUGAGGAAUGCAUACAGAAGCCUGCCUUAUAGGGCUCCUGCCUGCAGCGAUCCUUCUUAGCCUCCCUGCGGUCCCCCUACAUGCCCUCCCCAUUCCCUUUAAGCCAUCGCACAUUCAGGGCUGAACAGGGUUAGGGUUAGCACCCGGGUGGCAGCACCACUCUGCGGAUUCCUUGCUCUCUCCUUUCCUUGCUGCCACUUGCCAGAGACACAUCCCCAACCGGGUGCCCACUCAAGCACUGUUCUGGCAAGGAGGGGCUGCAAGGAAGGGGCAGUGGUUCUUUCCACUUUCCUGCUGCUUCUCUUGGGCCGCUCUUGCCAGGCACCUCUAUGGUGCUGGCCUUGGUACCACCUUGAACUGGGUUUCCUGGGUUCAGGCAACACUGCAAGCCAGCACGGCGGCCAGGCACCCAGAACAGGACGCGGUUUGUGGUUUCUAAAAGCAAGCAUGUGACAUGGGAUUUUUACUAGUGGAGGGUGGGGCACAUUAGUAGGCACUGAGAAAGGUAAUUUGGGCACAAGGAUUGUUUGGCUCUCUUCUGCUUAAAUGUACAGGAACUGCUGAAAAAUUGCUAAAAGCAGAUAUCCUGCCUGAAAUGUAGGGUGGGGCAAGACAUCUGUUGGAACUGUGCACAGAUAUGUGUGUGUGUGUGUGUGUGUGUGUGUGUGUGUGUGUGGCUGGGCCCACUUCACACUGGAAUAACAGUACUGACACUUGUUUGAAUGUGGACUGUAUACACAGUUACAUUUGGACUUCCAGUGGAAAGAGAGCAUAGUUGUGUUUGUUAACAUAUGAAAAACUUUAGCCAAGCUAAACAGAAUCAUUCUCGAUGUAUUAGUUUAAGGCUGCACUCAUGUUGAGACAGAAAUGAGUCCUCCAGCUCCUGCAUGCUGUUUGGAGCUUGUUGUGAGUUGUGGGACUUCUUCCUGACUAAACAUGCACAGGAUUGCCCUCUAAAUGGGAACUCUUUUUGAGUUUAAACUCAAUCUCUUAUUUGCUUGGUAAUACAAUCUUUGCAAUUUUAUUCUGAGAAUUAAUUUAGAGGGUUUUGUUGUUGUUUUACGAUUAAUCAUCUUUACAUGUUAAGGGUUUUUUUCAUGGUAAUCUAAUUACAUCUUGUGCUUGCUUGAUGCAUUUGAGAUUAACAUUCAUUUAUAAGAGGUUUAUUUGGCAUAUUAAUCCACGUCUUUCAAUUUGUAAUCAUUGUUCUUGCAAGCAGUGAUCCUACGGUUAUUCUCAUGGGAUUUUGUAACUUGCAUACUUUGAGGACUCGGUAAACUGUUAAUCUUUUCAGCCAGUCUGGUUUGUGACUGAAAAUACACUAAGCCUGCAAUCUUGUAGUCACUUACCUGGGAGUGAGUCACAUUGAGUUCAAUGGGACUUAAUUUUCAGUAGACUGAAAUUGGAUUCCACUCUAAAGCAUUAGAACACUAGAACUGGAAUUUGCCAAAAGGUCAAAAUGCAUCAUGCAAAACGUGGAACUGAGACCAAGAUGUUAGCAGCUGCUUACUCAACAGGCUGACUUGUUGACAGAAGAAAUAUAUGAGACAGCCUCAUACAGAACACUUCACUGCGGUCCAACAGCUGCUCUCUAAGAGUUCAGACAGUGGUCUUUCUCAGUCUUGCCUCCUUUGGACCCCUUUCAACUGGAGCUGCUAUGGGACAACUCUGGGACCCUCAGCACGCAAUGCUGCUGCUUUUGCCACAGAGCGAUGCUGGUCUCUCACUCCCGCACCAUCCCUGGCUAUGGAGGUUUUGCAGUUGAUACAGUGAUAAGCUUGGAGACUGGACAGAAGAGAGUUAAUGGAACAUGAAUCGCUCUAGCAAAGUUGCCUUCCUUUGUCAGGGGAUUUGUGGAUUGCUCUCAGUACUUGCCCUGAAAAGCUUUAGAGGAUCUGAAGUGCGAGCAGCUGAUGGAGACUUUCUGUUGUAGCAUUUAAGCUGCAUGGCUUCAUCUAUACUCAACCUGUAUUUGUAAAUAAGUAGAAAAAUGCAGCAUGCCAAUAGGUCUCCUGUGAUCUCAUUCUAAUGGAAACCAAACCUAGGUAAGUGCUAUCUGCCAGGCACCUCUCGCUGCUUGAAGUGUGGGGGUGGGUAAACAAUGUUUAUAACUCAGCUUUUUGCAAUAGUUCGGGUGGCACCCUCACUCUUGAAAACAUUUUCCUCUCCAGCCAUGGAUCUCUGUCACGCUGAGCAGGGCUGCUGCAGAUGCAGGCACGCUUUGGCCCCUGCCAGGAGCCCCCCUGCCAGCGGGGGCCCAUGGACAAGGGCUUCCUGGGCCUGCCUCUCCACCUCACCACUUGAGUCAGCUUGCUCGCCUUCCUCUUGCCAUGACCCACAUGGGGAGGUGGGGAGGCAGAACGGGAGAUUUAUUUGUUUAUUUAUUUAGAAAAUUUCUAUGCUGCUGCCAGCUGGCUCCCUGGCUCUUGCUCCAUCCAGCAAGCAGGUGGCGGUGGUGGUGAGGAAGAGGCGGAGGAGCAAUGGUGGUUGGGCCUAAUGGCUGUGGGAAGGUGGACUCACGGCGGGGAGCAGGAGAAGCACUGAGGGUGCUUGCCCAAAGGCCCUCCGAGCUGGGAGCCCACACUGAUUGCAAGCCAUCUCCUUUUCCGCAGCAGCCCUCUGUUCCUGUGGGAUUUCGAAGACUAAUCGAGAAAUGGAAGAAAAGAGGCCAGAUUGCAGGAAGGUGGCCCGUUUGUGGGAAGGAUGUGGAGAUGGAGUCGAUGGCAUGGAUAUGGAUACGAUCGUUUUGUACCUCACCUGGACAGUGAAGAAAGCUGAUAAGAAGAAAAUGGAUGUAUUUGAAACAUGGUGCUGGAGGAGAGCUUUGCAAGUACCCUGAACCAACAGAAAGGCAAAUGAGAGCUUCCACAGAUGCAAACAUGACAAAAAUGAGGCUGUCAUCCUUUGGACACGUCAUGAGAAGGCAAGACUCCCUGGAGAAGACAAGCAUGCUAGGGAAACUCAAAGGCCGAAGAUGAAACGGAAGACCAGAUAUGAGAUGGCUUGAAUCCAUACAGGAAGCCUUGAGCUUGGAAAGUUGAAUGGAGCUGCCUUGGACAGGACAUUUCAGAGGGCUUCAUUCAUAGUGUCACUAUAAGUUGGGGACAACUUGAUGGAACAGAACAACAACAGCCCUCGCCUGAGUUUGCACAAGGUCCUUUUUAAAAAAAUCUCGAUACACAGCCUGGUUACAUUUUCCGAAGAGAAGAGUCGUAGCUUAGUUGGCCCUCAUCGGCCAUCCUAUGAGAAUGAAGAGCCAUGCAAAGGAAGAGCUGGACCUUGAAAUGGCCAUCAGCAGCACCUGGGCAGCCGACACAGCAGUGCCUGGCCACGCUCUCCCACACGAUGGCGAGACGUACGAUGUCUCCGUCUUAAUUAUAACACUUAUGACUAUAUUUGCAUCUAUGCAUAUGAAUCAGGGCAUGCAAAUAUUAUGCAAACUGUUAUCCUCUUUCGUUCUCAUUAUUGGUGAUACAUUUCCCCCUUUUUGGCAAUUCAUACCUGGACUUUGCAAUGUUUACCUAACCCAAACCAAGCAAACCUGGGUCACCUUUGGUUGUAGUACACCGAACCUUGUUUACUGCAUGAAUCUUGGGCUAGGAAUGAAAUCCUUCUAGUAACUGUGAUAGACUCUUGGAAACCUAACUUUAAAAAAAAACUCAAUAAACAGCAUUCUCCCCUGCUCCUUUUUGGAUGGAGCAGCAUGACAGACCA